rnacentral:rRNA from 1 species
UACGUAGGGGGCAAGCGUUGUCCGGAUUUAUUGGGCGUAAAGAGCGUGUAGGCGGCCAAGCAGGUCAGCUGUGAAAACUCGAGGCUCAACCUCGAGACGUCGGUUGAAACCGCUUGGCUAGAGUCCGGAAGAGGAGAGUGGAAUUCCCGGUGUAGCGGUGAAAUGCGCAGAUAUCGGGAAGAACACCCGUGGCGAAGGCGGCUCUCUGGGACGGUACUGACGCUGAGACGCGAAAGCGUGGGGAGCGAACAGGAUUAGAUACCCUGGUAGUCCACGCCGUAAACGAUGGGCACUAGGUGUGGCGGGUAUCGACUCCCGCUGUGCCGAAGCUAACGCAUUAAGUGCCCCGCCUGGGGAGUACGGCCGCAAGGCUAAA